GAAAUGCGAUAAGUAAUGUGAAUUGCAGAAUUCUGUGAAUCAUCGAAUCUUUGAACGCACAUUGCGCCCGCCAGUAUUCUGGCGGGCAUGCCUGUCCGAGCGUCAUUUCAACCAUCAAGCCCCCGGGCUUGUGUUGGGGACCUGCGGCUGCCCGCAGGCCCUGAAAACCAGUGGCGGGCUCGCUGUCACACCGAGCGUAGUAGCAAUCACCUCGCUCAGGGCGUGCUGCGGGUUCCGGCCGUUAAACAGCCUUACAAAACCCAAGGUUGACCUCGGAUCAGGUAGGAAGACCCGCUGAACUUAAGC
rnacentral:misc_RNA from 1 species